UCUAUCAGCUAUUGGCUUUAAACUUGCAGAACUAAAACUGCAUAAGUGAUAGGAUACCCUAUAGAAAGAGAAAGGCUGUUUUUUUCUAAGGUUUUUUAAAUCUCCCUUAUAAUUAAUUUUUGAGAGAAAUUUUGAGAGUUAAUUUAAGGAAAAAGAUUAAAAAACUUUUGCAAGGUAUAAAAAGUUAAAAAAUUUAGACAUUAAAGAUUAAAGAACAGCCCUUUAAUCUUUUUU
ncrna:unclassified sequences FuFi-1 RNA